AUAAGCAAUAUCACCAAUCUACUGAAUUAUCAAAAAGAAAAUUUCGAUGAAACUUAUAAGUUAACGUUAUCUAAGAUUAAUUUUGAGCCCCCUUAAUUAUUAUAAAAUUAUAAAAGAUGGCACGCUUUUAAAUAGUUUGCGAAAAACAUUUUCAGUGUUACCAGAAAAACUUCAGAAGGUUUCCAAAUGACAAUCAUCAGUAUCACAGAAGCAAAAUCUCACCAACGAAAUAACUCUUAUUUUUCAGGUAACGAAGUCAACGCCAUGCGAUACUUUUGUACCGAUAAGGGAGUCCAAAAAUUGGAAUACGAGGGAUACCACUUCUGCAAACGAAGGACAAAGAAGCACUGCAUCCGUUGGUAUUGCACUAUGUGGCGUAGGAUGAAACGCACGGCAAGGGUUACAACAAUCACUUCUAAUGGAGCAGUAUUGCAGUUUUGUAAUGAUCACAACCAUCCACCGACGGCGGAAUGUCCUAAAAUAAGCCACAAGCGCAAGCGCAAAUCUUAAAACUUCUAUCGCGAAUGCCAUCUGAUUUCUAAUAUGCUCGAAACAGGAUCCUUGAAUUCAAAAUUACAGAUUCAAGAUUCUUGAAUGUGAUAUGUAUUAGCUGUAUUGACGCCAUAUUUUUUGUUUAAUAUAAGAUCUCCAAAAACCAUAAAGAAUGAAGUCGUAAUACUACUUUACAACCUUGAUAACAGUAGGAAUGAUGCAAAAAUGUAGUCUAAAGGAAAAAUGUUAAGCAUUAAUAAGUAUUAUGCAAUUGUUUUGGAUGACAAUCAAUUCUUGAUGAUUUUUUCUGUUGGAUGAAACCACCUCAUUCUGUAUUUUGUUUGUUGUCGUUAUGUUUCAGUAGGUACUCGAAAAUAACCAAAAAAAUAAAUUUGGCAACUCUGAAAAUAUACUGCCUGCAAAAUGUUAUGGUUUAUCAUUUAGAAAAUUUGCGAAUUUUGUUCCAUAUUUCUCAACACAAAAUUGAGAUUUUUUAGGUGUCGUAAUGAAUGAAUUCUAUUGCUGAGAAUUAAUUUUCAGAGCUGCCAGAAUUUUUUUUUGUACAAAAGUGGCAUGAAACAAUAUGUAAAUGUCCUAUUUUAUAACGCUCCCAACGUUUUUUUUAGACAUUUCAUUCGUCAUGAGCUGCCGGGGAAAAACUCAACUUAGCGUAAACGGUCACCUCUACACUUGUGACAAGACAACCGAUGACGCCAUGUACUGGUGUUGCAAUCAGCGCCGUGUUCUUGGCUGUACUGCUCGUGCUAAUACUGGACGUCGAAAGGAAGGACAACAGCCAACUAUCAAACUGCGCGGCUUUCACAAUCACAGAAUCAUCGCAGAACGACGCCGACCCGGGGAAUAUGCCAGGCUGAAGGAGCAGUACGACCGUGAACGAAAAGUGUUGCCAGAUGUGGAGCCUUGUCGUCCUGCCCUUUCCCGAUCGAAAAAGAAGCAAAACUGAAUCAAUUUUCUGUGUGUUAUCUUGAAAUUCUAGUACUACAAUUGUGACCGUGGCUAUGUUUCAAGAUGUCCAGGUCACUAAUAUAUGUACACUGACAAAUUUAUGAUUUGUUUUUCUUGUGAUGCGUGUCUUGUAUCAACCAAUCGAAAACAUUAUCUAAUAAGCAAUUAUCUAAUAAACAUUGCAGAUAUUUCAUUCGUCAUAAGCGCACGUGGCAAAACUCAGCUGAACGUUAACGCAUAUCUCUAUACGCGUGGCAAACUACACGGCGACUUUCAGUACUGGUCAUGUAAUCAGUACAGGGUUUUAAGUUGCACAGCUCGUGCUUCGACGGUCCGCUGCAAACAGGGCGAGAAACCAACCAUAAAACUGCGUGGUUUCCACAACCAUCCGAUUAUAGUGGACCGACGUCGGCCCGGAGAGUGCGCACGAUUGAAAGAGCUGUACGCUCCUGCAGCGAGGCAAGUGUUGCCAGACAGAAGGAAAUGUCAGCAGCUCCCCAAGCAGCAGGUGCCACUGCCGCCGAUCGAACAGUGUUUUGUGAAAGAAGAGAAAUAACGCACCCGUUGUCGGGGAUAAGAAUGGAGGAUGUCGUAGGAUUAGUGCAAUGCUUGCUCUAGUACUGCAUCUGAUGUAGUCUGGCAUUGGGCAUAUCAUUUGAAUAAUUCUCUCUGAAACGCAAAACAUCAUUCAAGGAAUUUAUCAGAAUAACACGGAUAGUUUUAAUGUAGCACUUAAAAACAAGAUUCUACAAUUAAGCUUUGAAAUUCUCCAAUUGGGGCUCCAGUUGUCCUAGUGGACAAGACUUCGGGAAUGCAAUGGCAGGUAAAAAUCCUUCUAUUAUUUCUGGAAGUGUUAAAGGGACACACAGUUGAUAAAGAAGCAAGUCAAGUGCUACUGGUUACGUAGGGUCUGAAAAAAUGUUUUGAAAUAAAACAGUGAAAAAAUUUUAAGGAUACAUGAAGUUGGAAUGUAAGAGAAGAGCCACCAACCCAGAGAAUUCUGCUGAACUAUCAUUUACCAUAAUAUUCCUACUUCAAUGACAGUUGCUCUAUACUGCAGUCAAUGUCCAUGUCAAGGCAUUAUAAACCAAUAUUUAGAGAAUGUUCUUCAACUUCUCCAAAACCCCCUUCCAUUUUCAGAAUCCAUGGCACACCGAGCAACGCAACUCAAGGCUACCCUGCGUCAACUGAAACGGGGUCAGAACCGCCGACAAUCGCCAACUCGCUCGGAAAGGAUCCGCCAGGUGCAGUGGCUGAUCCGCCAGCUGGAUAGUCAGUUUCGCCAGAUGUCCGACCAAGAUUUGAAAAAGCCCGUAAGAGUUAACGGUUUCACGUUUCCCCUGUCCUGCGAGGAGGACAUCGAGUGCCUCGAACUGAUGGUGCAGCGAAAUCCGAGCAUUCGUGAGCAGUUUGUUAACUAUCUGUGCAAGCGGAAAUCAUUUAGUGAUACGGUCGUGGAAUGUUUUAGGAUUUUUUCACCGAUGAGGCCAUGUUGCGGUACAACUGCAGAGGGCUCGAUCGCGAUCAGUGCCCGCGAAAGGCUAUGAUGAACUACAGCAUCUUUACAGAUUGUAUGGUCGGUAUGUUUAAGAUGUGUUUUUUUUUUCGGUGAAAUUGAUAUUCUAACAAGCUUUUUUUGCCAUAGAUGCUUGGAGUUCUCACGGAGUGCUAAUGG